GAAGACCAUUGUCACAAUGAGAUGGCAUAGCUGAGCACCCAAAGGUUCACAUUCCGUGAAUCAUCACAUUUCAGGUAUAACUUCCAUCCAGUAAAGAAAAUCAGGAGGGCACAUCUCCAGUAAGUUUCCUUAAAGAUAUCUACUUAUGGGUUAACUAUUCAAAGGCCAGCAUAGAGAUCCCAUAAAGGACAAUGAGAGAUAUGAGUGACUCAGCAUCAACUGAUAAUGUUUGCCCUGAUGUGAACUCCAGAAACAAUUCUUUUUGAAUUGGGGAUAAAAAGGCAGGGGUAAGAACAAACAAUGCAAAUGGAGUGAGUUGGGCCCAGAGGCAAAUAGGAAGAGGAGAGCUGGCUGGAUUGCUUUUGGAAAACUGCAAGAUUCUUUUGAUGACCCUGAAACAAAGACCUGCCUUUUUUAUAGUGCCAAUGUUUUUGUAAUGUUGCUGUUAAGUCUGCAUUAUAAGUAGAAUUAUUGCUGAUGUACAUUACAA